AUCAUGGCUCAGGAUGAACGCUAGCUACAGGCUUAACACAUGCAAGUCGAGGGGAAACGAUAGAGAAAGCUUGCUUUUUCUAGGCGUCGACCGGCGCACGGGUGAGUAACGCGUAUCCAACCUGCCCAUCACUUGGGGAUAACCUUGCGAAAGUAAGACUAAUACCCAAUGACGUCUCUAGAAGACAUCUGAAAGAGAUUAAAGAUUUAUCGGUGAUGGAUGGGGAUGCGUCUGAUUAGCUUGUUGGCGGGGUAACGGCCCACCAAGGCGACGAUCAGUAGGGGUUCUGAGAGGAAGGUCCCCCACAUUGGAACUGAGACACGGUCCAAACUCCUACGGGAGGCAGCAGUGAGGAAUAUUGGUCAAUGGACGAGAGUCUGAACCAGCCAAGUAGCGUGCAGGAUGACGGCCCUAUGGGUUGUAAACUGCUUUUAUAAGGGAAUAAACCCUCCCACGUGUGGGAGCUUGUAUGUACCUUGUGAAUAAGCAUCGGCUAACUCCGUG
rnacentral:rRNA from 1 species